UCUUGAAAUCGAUGGGCAGAUACAGAAAAUCAAAAGUGCCUUUAUGUUGUUCGUCAAUAGCAGCUAAAAGCAUCUUGGAGGUGUACUUGUUAGGAAUAUUUUUAAUCAUCAAAGUUGUCCGAGUAUCUUCACCACAUCUAAUCUUAUCCAAAUCAAGUAGAAAGAGCUUCUUGUUAUCCAUCUGGUUCCCAUUAUUAUUUUCAACACGUCGAGUGCGACUGCGUUCAGUCAGCCCCUCAAAGCUAGUAGCUGCAUGUCCUGGGAAAUGACCAUUACCUAGGAACAAUGGACUAAGUUUUUGGGAAGAGAUCAUGCCAAACCUAGGAGAAGCAUUGUCUGACAUAUUCCUUGGAACAGCAACACCAGCAUUCAAAGUAGUACGAGAACCAUAGUUAACCAUCAAACUUUCAUCACGAGUACCUAUACCCAUGCCCCUAAAACCUGGGCUCAAGAUUGACGAGUCUGGGUAAAAACCAAAGUGCCUAUCAAGGGGAAGACCAGAUGGAGCAGAUCCAAUAUGAUGAAGGUGGUGCUGAGAUGAAUUGAGGAAAGAUUUUUGAUGAUUUGACAAGGAAAACCUGUCGCCCUGACCACCAAAUGAAAAAGCAUUUCCCAAAGACUCAGUUUUCCAGGCUGAAGAAUUACUCUGUUGAGACUGCAACUUUGGACUGCCCCAGAGAAACUGUGGUCCUGAUAGUGUUUCAACAGCAGAACCAUUUGUACUUGAAGCACCAAAAGAGGACAUUGUUCCACCAAAGUGGCUUAUUUUAGGCUCGGCGAAAGAAUUAGACUGAGGGAAGGGAACACCAUGGUUUGAACCAAUUGGGAAAUCUGCACGGCCACUCAUUGUGCGAGCAUUACCAAUAGGUGCUACCCUCAAGGUAUUUGAUGCACGAGGAUGCAAAAUUGAAGCUAACCCAUGUAAAUUAUUGGCAAUGGUGGGACUCAGGGAUCUAAAGCCUGGUGAAGUGCCAGGACUUUGCAUGGAGCCGUGCUCUAUAGGGCUGCCAAAUUGUGGCCAAUUACCUGGGGAGGAAGUACCAAUUGAGGAAACCAAUGGAUGCCGAAAAGUCCAAGAAUCAUCUUGUUCAGAGUCUUGAGAUGAUUGCAAUACAAGAUUUCGUCGAGCUCCUCCAGGGCGGCUUGGUUCAAGCUUUAUGCGCUUGCCAGCUAUG
rnacentral:misc_RNA from 1 species